GGUGUUGCAAACCACCCUAGAGGAGCCUGUCCUAUAAUCGAUAACCCACGUUCCACCUUACCCACCCUUGCCCAUAACAGUCUAUAUACCGCCGUCGCAAGCCAACCUUUUGAAAGUAUAACCGUAGGCAAAAUAGCCUGCCCGCUAACACGUCAGGUCAAGGUGUAGCUAAUGGGUGGGACUUUCGAUGGGCUACACUCUCUUUCCACAAGGGACAAUACCUCCAAUGAAAAAGGACAAAACGCCGGAUUUAGUAGUAAAUACGACAAGCAAGUCGAAUUGAAACAAGCGCUGCAACAUGUACAUACCGCCCGUCACCCCCCUCACACAAACCACCAAACUUAUAUAAAACAUCAACUCAGAAAAGAUGGGGAAAGUCGUAACAAGGUAAGUGUACUGGAAAGUGCACUUGG
rnacentral:rRNA from 1 species